rnacentral:tRNA from 1 species
GCUAAGGUGGCAGAGUUCGGCAAAAUGCAAAAGGCUUAAACCCUUUACUCAGAGGUUCAAAUCCUCUCCCUAGCU